rnacentral:rRNA from 1 species
UAUUUUUUAACAUAUAAAAAAUUUGAAUAAUAAAAGAUAAGAACUUAAAAAAUCAAAGAAUUUGGCGGUUAUACAAACCUAAUUAGAGGAAUAUGUAGUAUAAUUGACAAUCCACGAUAAUUUAAACCUAUAAAUAUAUUUGUAUACCUCUAUAAAGAAUCCCUAAGAAUAGAUUUUCAAUAUCUAAAUUAAAGAAUAAUUUUAGGUCAAGGUGCAGUUAUAAUAAGGAAUUAUAUGUAUUACAUAAAUAUAAUAUCAAAAAUUAGAAAAAAAAAAUUAGUUAGAAUUUAAUAGUAAAAAUGAUAAAUUAAUCAAAUUGAAUAUAGCUCUGUAUAAG